rnacentral:tRNA from 1 species
GGGGCUGUGGCUCAGUAGUAGAGCACUUGACUCACAUGCAUGAGGCAUUGGGUUCAAUCCUCAGCACCACCU